ensembl:lncRNA
UUUGAGGCCAGCCUGGUCUACAAAGAGUUCCAUGAUGUCCAGGACCAUUACACAGAGAAACCCUAUCUUGAAAAACCUAAAAUAAAAGGAUAUCAGUGGUAUUUCCAUUGGGCAUUUACAGUGUUUGUUACCUAAAAAGCUUUCUCUUUGGUCUGUCUUCUUCCAUUAAGAGCCCAGUUUUUAAAUCGUCUCCUUAAAGAGACCUUCCUGACUACCUAAGGAUUCCAAGAGUCACCCAUGCACUUGUCUGUCCCAUUACCUUAUUUGUCCUUUUUAAACUUUGAUUUAAUAAGUUUAUUUUUUUCACAUUUAUCCAUCGUGUGUGUGUGUGUGUGUGUGUGUGUGUCAGAGGACAGCUUUCAGGAUUUCUCCUUCCACCAUUUGAGACCUAGGGAAUGAACUCAGGUCAUUUUGCUUGGAGGCAAGUGCCUUUACCAGCUGUGCCAUUUUGUUGGCUCCUCCUCCUCUUUUUUAAAAUUUAUUUUUAUUUAUGUGUAUGAGUGUUUUACUUAUAAGUAUGUUAUAGCACCAUGUGCAUGCAGUGUGUUAGAAGAGAGUAGUGGAUCCCCUGGAACUGGAGUUAUAGUGAGUGGUUAUGUGAGUGCUGGGAACCAAACCUGGGUCCUCAGCAAGAACAGCAAAUGCUUUUAACUGCUGAGUCAUUUCUCUGCCCCAUAGUACCUUAUUCUUUGCAUAGCACUUGUCAUUACAAAGUAUUUUUCUGACUUAUUUGCAUAUUUGCUUAUAGUCUUUAAUUAGAAUUGGCCUAAGCUUAUUGUCAAUGUUAUUUGAUCACCUUUGGUAAUUAUGCUUGCCGGAUGAGCCACCUAACUUGCUUAUCUAGAGUCACUGAAUCAUUUCCUGAAACCAGAGAAGGGUGGCAGGGGCUUGUCCUGAGGUGACAUGCAUUCAAGCUAGAGUGCUAGAUGGGAGGGAAAGUGCACACCUCUGAUCCCAGUACUUCAGCAUUAGGGUGGGGGAGAUGGCUUGGCAGUUAAGAGUACUGGCUGCUCUUCCAGAGGACCUAGGUUUGUGGCUUGCAAUUGUCUGUAACUCCAGUCCCAGGGGUCCAAUUGCCCCCCCCCUUUUUCCUCCUUAGGCACUGCAUGCCCAUGAUGUACAGGCAUGCAUGCAAGCAAAACAUCUGUACACAUAAAAUAAACAAAACACAAAAUCAGAUAGCAUGGCCCAACUCACUCAGGGACCAUCAUAUAAGAGGGCGUGGGAAGAUUGUAAGAGUCAGAGGUUGGGAGGGAUCAAAGCAAAAAGUGUCUUUUUUUUUUUUUUUUAAAGACACAGUCUAUGUAGCCCUGGCUAUCCUGGGACACUCUAUGGAGACCAGGCAGGCCUCAAACUCUCACAGAGAUAUGCCUGCCUUUGCCUCACGAGUGCUGGGAUUAAGAGUGUACACCACCAGGGCUGGAGAGAUGGCUCAGUGGUUAAGAGCACUGACUGCUCUUCCAGAGAAUUCAGGUUCAAUUCCUAGCACCCACAUGGCAGCUCACAAUUGUCUGUAACUCCAGUUCCAGGGGAUCCGAUACCCUCACACAGAAUAAAUACAGGCAAAACACCAGUGCACAUUAAAUUAAUAAAUAACUGUUAAAAAGUGUGCACCAGGAUACCUGGCAUUAUUGGAAAGAAUUUUUUAAAUGCUCCUCACAAUAUUUAUUUAUUAUGUAUAUGGUGUUCUGCCUACAUGUCUGCCUGAGGCCAGAAGAGAGCACCAGAUCUCAUUACAGAUGGUUGUGAGCCACCGUGUAGUCGCUGGGAAUUGAACUCAGGACCUCUGUAAGAGCAGACAGUGCUCUUAACUGCUUGGCCAUCUCUCUAGCCUAGAAAGAAUUUUUGAAGAAAGGAAGCUUCUCAUGAUUUUAUCCUAUAAUAAUGAGCAUGAUAUCUCCUUAGUGUGUACAUUUUCAACAAUGACAGAAGAGGGGAGAGAAAUACUCUGCCAAAGAAGUGAAUUGUGCCUGGUUUUUAUCUGACAUACUUUAGUGUAACUCAUGUCCU